GGGACUGAAAACUCGCGGCGGGGGUGACAGAUACACUCUCUGCGCACCACCACCACAACCACCACCGUAAAAAUGCCAGAGGGACCAGAACUUCACUUGGCAGCUAAAUUCAUCACCGCAAUCGGGCAGAGGACGCUAUUUGGGGGCCAGGUGGUCAAGUCAGCAGUGUCUACCAAGAACCCUGACGUGGAAUGGAACAAGGAAGUGUACAGGGUGCGUGCCAACUCCAGAGGGAAGGAGUUGAAGGUGGUGGUGACGGAGGGUGAAUCUGAGGUGAAGGGCGGCGCGUCUCUCAGUAUCCUCUUCCGUUUUGGCAUGUCAGGCAGUUUCAAGUACACUCCUGUCAGUGAGCUUCCCAAACACGCACAUUUACAGUUUUACACCAUCAAUGAACCAAUUCCGAUGGUGCUGAGCUUUGUGGAUUACCGUCGGUUUGGCCGGUGGGAGGUGGAGGGUGAAUGGGGUGCAGAUCGUGGCCCAGACCCCAUUUGGGAGUAUCAGGCAUUCCGGAGCAAUGUGAUGGAGAACCUCAAGUUAUCAGCCUUCAAUAGACCCAUCUGUGAGGCCAUGCUUAACCAGAAGUUCUUUAAUGGCAUAGGAAAUUAUUUGCGAGCUGAGAUUUUAUACAGGUGUGGUGUCCGUCCCUUUGAUGAGGCACGUGAAGUCCUGAGUGAACUGAAGCCAUUUAGCAAGUGGUACGAGACUCAGGUGAAGCAGGAGGAUGUCAAAAAUAUAGUGAAACAAGAGGAUGUCCAAAAGAUUGUGGUGAAACAGGAAGAUAACAAGGAAAUAGUGAAGCAGGAGGAUGUCAAAGAGAAUAUAGUGAAACAGGAGGAUGUCAAAGAGAAUAUAGUGAAACAGGAAGGCAACAAGAAGAGUGUGAAGGAGAGCAAAGUGAAGCCAGACUUACUAGACCUUUGCCACAUCUUGCCCAAGGAGGUGGUGGGUCUUGAGGGUGGAGGCAAGGGCUACAAUGUCGACCCUGAUGCCAAUGAGGAAGAGUAUGCUGCAUUUAGGGAAUGGCUGCAGUGCUACUACCAGGACGGGAUGAAGAACAUGGUGGACCACAAUGGCCGCACCAUGUGGUUCAGUGGAGAACCGGGUCGCCUCAAGCCAAAGGAUGCAAGUUCAAGAAAUAAGAUAGUGAGGACAAAGAAGAUGCACAAGAAGGAUGAGAACAAGAAGGAAGCAGAGGAACAGAACCCUGACUUGGGACAUGAAGAAAAUAACACUAGGACAAAGAAAAGACCUUCUAGAGCCAAAACAGACAAAGCGGCAGAGACAAAGAAAGCACCACCCAAUAAAACACCAGCUAAUAAAACGCCAGCUAAGAAAACACCAGCUAAUAAAACGCCAGCUAAGAAAACGCCAGCUAAGAAAUCACUGAAUGGCCAAACAGGGAAAGCCACAAAGAGAGCAAAGGGAGUGAAGGUCAAGGAGGAAGAGACAGCCAUACCCACUCUAGCAUCCAAGAUUAAAGUGAAGCUGGAGGAAGCCAACAGUGUGCCAAAAACGCUCAGCAAGACUCACCCGUCACCAGUGAAGCAGAGAAGUGAAGCUCGUCUAGAUGUUGUUCUGCUACCUCAGUUUUUUACCCUUAAGGCGUAAGUCGGGUGGUGAGCUGGCAACACACACCGGUAGCGCCGUCAGACAAGCAGCGGCCGGCGAGUUGGCAGGAGGAAACGUGUGGUGUAUUGUACGAAAUGACGUGUGGGUGUGGCGGCGGGCGUGGUGGCCGUGGCGAUCACCGAGGAAAGAUGCGCUUGUCGUCCAUCGUCAUUCGUUGGUGUGCGGCGUUGGUAGGGACAGGGCAGGCCGUGUCGAGGCAUAGGACGCAGGAGAAACGUGGCGUGAUGGUUCAUGGGGUGCAGCUUGCAAGUAAUUGCUACAGAAUCUCCGCUACAAUCAUUGACCUCACCACGCUGUAACCACUGCUUCAGCCAAUGACGUAUCCAUCUACUGUACCGUCAUUACCUUGAUCUUGAUGCUACAGGUGGCUCGGGAUCGCUCUGGAACCAAGGCCUUUCGAUCGGCAACUCUGUAGAGGACAAACAAAAGACAAGGAGAUAAAAGGUAAAUAGUA
rnacentral:misc_RNA from 1 species